rnacentral:rRNA from 1 species
UACGUAGGGGGCAAGCGUUGUCCGGAUUUACUGGGUGUAAAGGGUGCUCAGGUGGACUUUUAAGUCAGAGGUGAAAUCCCAAAGCUUAACUUUGGAGCUGCCUUUGAUACUGAAAGUCUAGAGUUUGAGAGAGGGCAAUGGAAUAUCUGGUGUAGCAGUGAAAUGCGUAGAUAUCAGAUAGAACACCAAUGGCGAAGGCAGUUGCCUGGCUCAAAACUGACACUAAAGCACGAAAGCGUGGGGAGCGAACAGG